CAGCCGCCGCGGUAAUACAGAGGGUGCGAGCGUUAAUCGGAUUUACUGGGCGUAAAGCGUGCGUAGGCGGCUUCUUAAGUCGGAUGUGAAAUCCCUGAGCUUAACUUAGGAAUUGCAUUUGAUACUGGGAAGCUAGAGUAUGGGAGAGGAUGGUAGAAUUCCAGGUGUAGCGGUGAAAUGCGUAGAGAUCUGGAGGAAUACCGAUGGCGAAGGCAGCCAUCUGGCCUAAUACUGACGCUGAGGUACGAAAGCAUGGGGAGCAAACAGGAUUAGAUACCCGGGUAGUCCCUGUCUCUUAUAC
rnacentral:rRNA from 1 species